ACUCCUACGGGAGGCAGCAGUGGGGAAUCUUAGACAAUGGGGGAAACCCUGAUCUAGCCAUGCCGCGUGAGCGAUGAAGGCCUUAGGGUUGUAAAGCUCGUUUCAGCGGGAAGAUAAUGACGGUACCCGCAGAAGAAGCCCCGGCUAACUCCGUGCCAGCAGCCGCGGUAAUACGGAGGGGCUAGCGUUGUUCGGAAGUUACUGGGCGUAAAGCGCGCGUAGGCGGAUUGGAAAGUCAGAGGUGAAAUCCCGGGCUCAACCCGGAACUGCCUUUGAAACUCCCAGAUCUUGAA
rnacentral:rRNA from 1 species